rnacentral:rRNA from 2 species
GGGUUGUGAGGUUAAGCGACUAAGCGUACACGGUGGAUGCCCUGGCAGUCAGAGGCGAUGAAGGACGUGCUAAUCUGCGAUAAGCGUCGGUAAGGUGAUAUGAACCGUUAUAACCGGCGAUUUCCGAAUGGGGAAACCCAGUGUGUUUCGACACACUAUCAUUAACUGAAUCCAUAGGUUAAUGAGGCGAACCGGGGGAACUGAAACAUCUAAGUACCCCGAGGAAAAGAAAUCAACCGAGAUUCCCCCAGUAGCGGCGAGCGAACGGGGAGCAGCCCAGAGCCUGAAUCAGUGUGUGUGUUAGUGGAAGCGUCUGGAAAGGCGCGCGAUACAGGGUGACAGCCCCGUACACAAAAAUGCACAUACUGUGAGCUCGAUGAGUAGGGCGGGACACGUGGUAUCCUGUCUGAAUAUGGGGGGACCAUCCUCCAAGGCUAAAUACUCCUGACUGACCGAUAGUGAACCAGUACCGUGAGGGAAAGGCGAAAAGAACCCCGGCGAGGGGAGUGAAAAAGAACCUGAAACCGUGUACGUACAAGCAGUGGGAGCACGCUUAGGCGUGUGACUGCGUACCUUUUGUAUAAUGGGUCAGCGACUUAUAUUCUGUAGCAAGGUUAACCGAAUAGGGGAGCCGAAGGGAAACCGAGUCUUAACUGGGCGUUAAGUUGCAGGGUAUAGACCCGAAACCCGGUGAUCUAGCCAUGGGCAGGUUGAAGGUUGGGUAACACUAACUGGAGGACCGAACCGACUAAUGUUGAAAAAUUAGCGGAUGACUUGUGGCUGGGGGUGAAAGGCCAAUCAAACCGGGAGAUAGCUGGUUCUCCCCGAAAGCUAUUUAGGUAGCGCCUCGUGAAUUCAUCUCCGGGGGUAGAGCACUGUUUCGGCAAGGGGGUCAUCCCGACUUACCAACCCGAUGCAAACUGCGAAUACCGGAGAAUGUUAUCACGGGAGACACACGGCGGGUGCUAACGUCCGUCGUGAAGAGGGAAACAACCCAGACCGCCAGCUAAGGUCCCAAAGUCAUGGUUAAGUGGGAAACGAUGUGGGAAGGCCCAGACAGCCAGGAUGUUGGCUUAGAAGCAGCCAUCAUUUAAAGAAAGCGUAAUAGCUCACUGGUCGAGUCGGCCUGCGCGGAAGAUGUAACGGGGCUAAACCAUGCACCGAAGCUGCGGCAGCGACGCUUAUGCGUUGUUGGGUAGGGGAGCGUUCUGUAAGCCUGCGAAGGUGUGCUGUGAGGCAUGCUGGAGGUAUCAGAAGUGCGAAUGCUGACAUAAGUAACGAUAAAGCGGGUGAAAAGCCCGCUCGCCGGAAGACCAAGGGUUCCUGUCCAACGUUAAUCGGGGCAGGGUGAGUCGACCCCUAAGGCGAGGCCGAAAGGCGUAGUCGAUGGGAAACAGGUUAAUAUUCCUGUACUUGGUGUUACUGCGAAGGGGGGACGGAGAAGGCUAUGUUGGCCGGGCGACGGUUGUCCCGGUUUAAGCGUGUAGGCUGGUUUUCCAGGCAAAUCCGGAAAAUCAAGGCUGAGGCGUGAUGACGAGGCACUACGGUGCUGAAGCAACAAAUGCCCUGCUUCCAGGAAAAGCCUCUAAGCAUCAGGUAACAUCAAAUCGUACCCCAAACCGACACAGGUGGUCAGGUAGAGAAUACCAAGGCGCUUGAGAGAACUCGGGUGAAGGAACUAGGCAAAAUGGUGCCGUAACUUCGGGAGAAGGCACGCUGAUAUGUAGGUGAAGUCCCUCGCGGAUGGAGCUGAAAUCAGUCGAAGAUACCAGCUGGCUGCAACUGUUUAUUAAAAACACAGCACUGUGCAAACACGAAAGUGGACGUAUACGGUGUGACGCCUGCCCGGUGCCGGAAGGUUAAUUGAUGGGGUCAGCGCAAGCGAAGCUCUUGAUCGAAGCCCCGGUAAACGGCGGCCGUAACUAUAACGGUCCUAAGGUAGCGAAAUUCCUUGUCGGGUAAGUUCCGACCUGCACGAAUGGCGUAAUGAUGGCCAGGCUGUCUCCACCCGAGACUCAGUGAAAUUGAACUCGCUGUGAAGAUGCAGUGUACCCGCGGCAAGACGGAAAGACCCCGUGAACCUUUACUAUAGCUUGACACUGAACAUUGAGCCUUGAUGUGUAGGAUAGGUGGGAGGCUUUGAAGUGUGGACGCCAGUCUGCAUGGAGCCGACCUUGAAAUACCACCCUUUAAUGUUUGAUGUUCUAACGUUGACCCGUAAUCCGGGUUGCGGACAGUGUCUGGUGGGUAGUUUGACUGGGGCGGUCUCCUCCUAAAGAGUAACGGAGGAGCACGAAGGUUGGCUAAUCCUGGUCGGACAUCAGGAGGUUAGUGCAAUGGCAUAAGCCAGCUUGACUGCGAGCGUGACGGCGCGAGCAGGUGCGAAAGCAGGUCAUAGUGAUCCGGUGGUUCUGAAUGGAAGGGCCAUCGCUCAACGGAUAAAAGGUACUCCGGGGAUAACAGGCUGAUACCGCCCAAGAGUUCAUAUCGACGGCGGUGUUUGGCACCUCGAUGUCGGCUCAUCACAUCCUGGGGCUGAAGUAGGUCCCAAGGGUAUGGCUGUUCGCCAUUUAAAGUGGUACGCGAGCUGGGUUUAGAACGUCGUGAGACAGUUCGGUCCCUAUCUGCCGUGGGCGCUGGAGAACUGAGGGGGGCUGCUCCUAGUACGAGAGGACCGGAGUGGACGCAUCACUGGUGUUCGGGUUGUCAUGCCAAUGGCACUGCCCGGUAGCUAAAUGCGGAAGAGAUAAGUGCUGAAAGCAUCUAAGCACGAAACUUGCCCCGAGAUGAGUUCUCCCUGACUCCUUGAGAGUCCUGAAGGAACGUUGAAGACGACGACGUUGAUAGGCCGGGUGUGUAAGCGCAGCGAUGCGUUGAGCUAACCGGUACUAAUGAACCGUGAGGCUUAACCUUACAACGCCGAAGGUGUUU